rnacentral:rRNA from 1 species
GAUGAACGCUGGCGGCGUGCCUAAUACAUGCAAGUCGAGCGAACAGACGAGGAGCUUACUCCUCUGACGUUAGCGGCGGACGGGUGAGUAACACGUGGAUAACCUACCUAUAAGACUGGGAUAACUUCGGGAAACCGGAGCUAAUACCGGAUAACAUGUUGAACCGCAUGGUUCAACAGUGAAAGACGGUCUUGCUGUCACUUAUAGAUGGAUCCGCGUCGCAUUAGCUAGUUGGUAAGGUAACGGCUUACCAAGGCAACGAUGCGUAGCCGACCUGAGAGGGUGAUCGGCCACACUGGAACUGAGACACGGUCCAGACUCCUACGGGAGGCAGCAGUAGGGAAUCUUCCGCAAUGGGCGAAAGCCUGACGGAGCAACGCCGCGUGAGUGAAGAAGGUCUUCGGAUCGUAAAACUCUGUUAUUAGGGAAGAACAAAUGUGUAAGUAACUAUGCACGUCUUGACGGUACCUAAUCAGAAAGACGCGGCUAACUACGUG